GAUGAAUUCUGCAACGAAAUCCAGAAUAGACUAAAGGAUGCAAUGGUAUGGGUGGAAGCCUUGAUCCCUUUUGAUAAAGGGGAACUCCUCAGUACGAUACAUCAAGUCGGAAUGGUUGAGAGAACUGAAUACUCUGAGAAAGGAACUCUUGUGAGAGCACAUGUUCCCCUCCGAUUUGCAAGGCUUCUAACUCCUAUGAGGCAAAUGUGUGUAUCAUAAUUGCUUCAAGUCACCAAAAUACAUAUACUUGAAGUGCAAC
rnacentral:misc_RNA from 1 species